rnacentral:rRNA from 1 species
AGUCGUUGUAGCAAUACNAGGCAUACGGCUCAGUAACACGUAGUCAAUCUACCCUAUGGACGGGGAUAACCUCGGGAAACUGAGAAUAAUACCCGAUAGAUCAUUAUGCCUGGAACGGUUUAUGGUUAAAAUGAUUCGUCGCCAUAGGAUGGGACUGCGGCCUAUCAGCUUGUUGGUGAGGUAAUGGCCCACCAAGGCUAUUACAGGUACGGGCUCUGAGAGGAGAAGCCCGGAGAUGGGUACUGAGACACGGACCCAGGUCCUAUGGGGCGCAGCAGGCGAGAAACCUUUGCAAUGUGCGCNAGCNCGACNAGGUUAAUCCGAGUGAUUCCUGCUAAAGGAAUCUUUUGUUAGUCGUAAAAUCACUGAUGAAUAAGGGGUGGGCAAGUUCUGGUGUCAGCCGCCGCGGUAAAACCAGCACCUCANGUGGUCAGGAG